CCGCUAUUGGAGUUCGAUUAAGCCAUGCGAGUCGAGAGUCUUAGGGGCUCGGCGUACCGCUCAGUAACACGUGGGUAACCUGCCCUAUGCUGGGGAAUAACCUCGGGAAACUGAGAAUAAUGCCCCAUAGUCCACAAUGCCUGGAACGGUUUGUGGAUCAAAGCUCCGGCGGCAUAGGAUGGGCCUGCGGCGUAUCAGGUUGUAGGGGGUGUAACGUACCCUCUAGCCAUCAACGCGUACGGGUGUUGGGAGACAUAGCCCGGAGAUGGAUUCUGAGACACGAAUCCAGACCCUACGGGGUGCAGCAGGCGCGAAAACUUGGCAAUGCGAGAAAUCGUGACCAGGGAACUCCAAGUGGCUGGGGUAAGACCCAGUCUUUUCUUGACUCUUCAAAGGUCUUGGAAUAAGGGGUGGGUARGACGGUGCCAGCCGCCGCGGUAAUACCGGCGCCUUCAAGUGGUAGUCGAUUUUAUUGGGCCUAAAACGUCCGUAGCCUGUUUGGUACAUUCGUGGGUAAAUCAACCAGCUCAACUGGUUGAAUUCUGCGAGCACGGCCAGACUUGGGACCGGGAGAGGUGUGGGGUACGCUCAGGGUAGGGGUAAAAUCCUGUCAUCCUGAGCGGACCACCUGUUGCGAAGGCGCCACACUAGAACGGAUCCGACGGUCAGGGACGAAGCCUAGGGGCACGAACCGGAUUAGAUACCCGGGUAGUCCUAGGUGUAAACGCUGUGGACUUGGUGUUGGGGACUCUCCGAGAAUCCUCAGUGCCGAAGCGAAGGUGAUAAGUCCACUGCCUGGGGAGUACGGUCGCAAGGCUGAAACUUAAAGGAAUUGGCGGGGGAGCACCGCAACCUGAGGAUUGUGCGG
rnacentral:rRNA from 1 species